GACGAACGCUGGCGGCGUGCUUAACACAUGCAAGUCGAACGGAAAGGCCCUGCUUUUGUGGGGUGCUCGAGUGGCGAACGGGUGAGUAACACGUGAGUAACCUGCCCUUGACUUUGGGAUAACUUCAGGAAACUGGGGCUAAUACCGGAUAGGAGCUCCUGCUGCAUGGUGGGGGUUGGAAAGUUUCGGCGGUUGGGGAUGGACUCGCGGCUUAUCAGCUUGUAGGUGGGGUAGUGGCUUACCAAGGCUUUGACGGGUAGCCGGCCUGAGAGGGUGACCGGCCACAUUGGGACUGAGAUACGGCCCAGACUCCUACGGGAGGCAGCAGCGGGGAAUAUUGCACAAUGGGCGGAAGCCUGAUGCAGCAACGCCGCGUGCGGGAUGACGGCCUUCGGGUUGUAAACCGCUUUCGCCUGUGACGAAGCGUGAGUGACGGUAAUGGGUAAAGAAGCACCGGCUAACUACGUG
rnacentral:rRNA from 1 species